UACAGAGGGUGCGAGCGUCAAUCGGAUUUACUGGGCGUAAAGGGCGCGUAGGUGGUAAAGCAAGUAAGAUGUGAAGUCCCUGGGCUUAACCUAGGAAGUGUAUCUUAAACUGCUUAACUAGAGUAUGGUAGAGGGUAGUGGAAUUUCCGGUGUAGCGGUGAAAUGCGUAGAGAUCGGAAGGAACGCCAGUGGUGAAGACGACUACCUGGACCAAUACUGACACUGAGGCGCGAAAGCGUGGGGAUCAAACAGG
rnacentral:rRNA from 1 species